GCUUCUCAGCUUCUGUUAUAUCCUUCUUGGAUGGGGACUGGAGAUCAGCCAGAUCAGUUGUUUGCACAAAGCCGCUUUGGGUCUGUCUUUUCAAACAAAAGCUGCAGAAAAUGUUAUAGCAAGGUUGAAGCUUUAUUCCACUCUGACUCACCCAGAAAGCACAACCCUGAUUUUGCAUGAGAAGGACCAUCUAUGGAACCUAGAAC